AUGGUUAAAAUUGAUUUUGCCAAGGCUUUUGAUCGACUAGAAUGGAAUUUUGUAGUCUUGGCUCUUGCACGUAAAGGGCUGCAUGAGCAUUUAAUUAACUUGAUCUACGCUUGCAUCUCCACACCCACCUUUUCCGUUAUUAUUAAUGGCCAACCAUAUGCAAAGUUUAGGAAUAACAGAGGCAUCAGGCAAGGCUGUCCACUAUCUCCCUAUCUUUUCGUUCUUGCUAUAAAUGAGCUAUCCAUUUCUUUGUAGGAAGCAAUGAUGUCUAACCAACUCACAGGAAUUUCUCUUGGCCCUAAUUGCCCUGCCAUCCACUCACUCAUGUUUGCAGAUGAUCUAUUAGUUUGUGGCCAAGCUUCCAUACAAGAGGCAACUACAAUGAGUCAACUCAUUCAAGCUUUCUGCAAUAAAUUAGGUCAGACACCAAACUGGCAUAAAUCUGGAAUUAUUUUUAACAAAGGUGUGGAUAAUAACAUUAGGCAAGCAAUCAAAAGCAUAUUUCCCGUUCCAGACAUAGAUCAACACACCAUUCAUUAG
rnacentral:rRNA from 1 species